UUUAAAACUAUAGAAAAGAUUAUUAUUAGAACGAUACAGAGAAGAUUAGCAUGGCCCCUGAGCAGGGAUGACACGCAAAUUCGUGAAGCGUUCCAUAUUUUU